rnacentral:tRNA from 1 species
GCCCGGGUGCUGGAACUGGCAGACAGGCAUGGCUUAGGACCAUGUGCCCUCUGGGCGUGGAGGUUCGAGUCCUCUCCCGGGCACCA